rnacentral:rRNA from 1 species
GGACGAACGCUGGCGGCGUGCUUAACACAUGCAAGUCGAGCGGUAAGGCCCUUUCGGGGGUACACGAGCGGCGAACGGGUGAGUAACACGUGGGUGACCUGCCCUCAGCUCUGGGAUAAGCCUGGGAAACUGGGUCUAAUACCGGAUAUGACCCCAUGACGCAUGUCGUGGGGUGGAAAGCCUUGUGCGGCUGAGGAUGGGCCCGCGGCCUAUCAGCUUGUUGGUGGGGUGAUGGCCUACCAAGGCGACGACGGGUAGCCGGCCUGAGAGGGCGACCGGCCACACUGGGACUGAGACACGGCCCAGACUCCUACGGGAGGCAGCAGUGGGGAAUCUUGCGCAAUGGGCGAAAGCCUGACGCAGCGACGCCGCGUGAGGGAUGACGGCC